ACUCCUACGGGAGGCAGCAGUAGGGAAUCUUCCACAAUGGGCGCAAGCCUGAUGGAGCAACACCGCGUGAGUGAAGAAGGGUUUCGGCUCGUAAAGCUCUGUUGUUAAAGAAGAACACGUAUGAGAGUAACUGUUCAUACGUUGACGGUAUUUAACCAGAAAGUCACGGCUAACUACGUGCCAGCAGCCGCGGUAAUCA
rnacentral:rRNA from 1 species